GUCUUCCUAGUAUUAAAACAAGUAUAAGUGACUUCCAAUCACCUGGUUCUGGUUAAAGUCCAGAGGAAGAUA
rnacentral:tRNA from 2 species